CGACUACGGUCUGGGAGCCGACAGGAAGUUUAACACUAUGCAUUGCUACCUUUAGUUCAGGGUUAAGAUCUCCGCAGCCAGCCGCAAGGUAAGAAUUGCUCACAGCUCCGUACUUCAUACUUCACUUCUUUUGGGGGUUCAUCAGAGCGGUUCUUUCCCUCCUGAAUGAUCAUCCUGCAAACCCGGGGCCUAAUCGCCAAAACAUCAUUACAGUUACUUGUUGUAAUACGUCAAUCACUAUUCCCGCAUAUCAUGUGUCCCGAUAAUAAACAUAUACUCAUA